rnacentral:rRNA from 1 species
UACGUAGGUGGCGAGCGUUGUCCGGAAUUAUUGGGCGUAAAGGGCGCGUAGGUGGUCUUUUAAGUCAGAUGUGAAAACGUGGGGCUUAACUUCACGAUUGCAUUUGAAACUGGAAGACUUGAGGACAGGAGAGGAAAGUGGAAUUCCCAGUGUAGCGGUGAAAUGCGUAGAGAUUGGGAGGAACACCAGUGGCGAAGGCGACUUUCUGGACUGACCCUGACACUGAGGCGCGAAAGCUAGGGGAG